AGCUGCGUGGUGAGCACAGAGCGAACUAUUCUUUCGCCUUUUACUAAAGAAUACCGUGUGCGCGCCACAACGAGCAGCAUACUCUAAUUUUUUUUAGGGUGCUCUCUCUUAACGAGAGGG
rfam:Brachypodium distachyon strain Bd21 chromosome 3, whole genome shotgun sequence.